AACAUUAAUACAUUGUUGUACUUUGUUCUACCUCCAGUAUUGGUAUCUGAAACUAAAGCACUUUUAAGGAUCUU